rnacentral:pre_miRNA from 1 species
AAUGUUUGACGCCGUUGAUUUUUUAACACAUGUUUGACCGUUCGUCUUAUUCAAAAAAUUUAAGUAAUUAUUAAUUCUUUUUCUAUCAUUUGAUUUAUUGUUAAAUAUAUUUUUAUGUAGGCAUAUAAUUUUGCAUAUUUCACAAAAGUUUUUAAAUAAGACGAACGGUCAAAUAUGUACUAAAAAGUCAACGGUGUCAAACAUU